AUUGAACGCUGGCGGCAUGCCUUACACAUGCAAGUCGAACGGCAGCGGACCUUCGGGUGCCGGCGAGUGGCGAACGGGUGAGUAAUAUAUCGGAACGUACCUUUCAGUGGAGGAUAACGUAGCGAAAGUUACGCUAAUACCGCAUAUUCUGUGAGCAGGAAAGCAGGGGAUCGCAAGACCUUGCGCUGAUUGAGCGGCCGAUAUCAGAUUAGCUAGUUGGUGAGGUAAAGGCUCACCAAGGCGACGAUCUGUAGCGGGUCUGAGAGGAUGAUCCGCCACACUGGAACUGAGACACGGUCCAGACUCCUACGGGGG
rnacentral:rRNA from 1 species